AAGUACAGAGACUCGUAUUCUAGAACCGCGGAUGGCUCAUUAUAACAGCUAUUAUUUGAGAGAAAUAAACUUUAUUGCCACAAGAUAACUGUGGUAAUUCUAGAGCUAAUAUUUUUAAAAAUGCUGUGACUUCGGAAGCAGCGGAUUUAUNNGUUCAAAANUAACCCNUUNGCNAAANNGGANANUNGGNNANUUUGGAAAACCCNUNCGGUCGGAANACCNUGGGUNGAGGNCANUCNUUUGAAAANGGNUGACCUUNCAACUUUCGGAUGGUAANNUCAAAGCNUACCNUGNUUUUAACGGGUAACNGGGAAUCCAGUUUUCGAUUCCGGAGAGGGANNCUGAAAAACGGCUACCCACUUCCACGGAAGGCAGCNGGCGCGUAAAUUACCCCAAUACCGGGCUCGGUGAGGUAGUGACAAAAAAUAACAAUAUGGGCCCCUAGUGGUUUCAUAAUUGCAAUGAGAANAUUUAAAAUACUUUAUCAAGUNUCAAUUGGANGGCAAGUUUUGUGCCAGCAGCCGCGGUAAUUCCAGCUYCMAAAGCGUAUAUUAAAGUUGUNGCAGUUAAAAAGCUUGUNGUUGAAANUNGGGAAUNNAAAUWGGUUGAAAUCCUUNGAUUGAUAAUCAUUUGGCCCUNGNNCGUCGKGUAUAUUGUUCAGGUACUUUACUGUAUCURANKAAUACCGGCCUAGUUUACUUUGAAAAAAUUAGAGUGCUUAAAGCAGGCUUAUGCUUGUAUAUUGUUGCAUGGAAUAAUAAAAUAAGACUUCGGUUUUAUUUUGUUGGUUUUCGAAACUGAAGUAAUGAUUAAAAGAGACUGCCGGGGGCAUAUGUAUGCUGGUGUUAGAGGUGAAAUUCUUAGAUCAUCAGCAGACAAUCUACUGCGAAAGCAUUUGCCAAGAAUGUUUUCAUUAAUCAAGAACGAAAGUCAGAGGAUCGAAGACGAUCAGAUACCGUCCUAGUUCUGACCAUAAACUAUGCCAACUGACAGUUAGCUAAGGUAUANUCAUAUCCUUGCUAGAAGUCACCGGGAAACCUAAGUCUAUGGGUUCCGGGGGAAGUAUGGUUGCAAAGCUGAAACUUAAAGGAAUUGACGGAAGGGCACCACMAGGAGUGGAGCCUGCGGCUUAAUUUGACUCAACACGGGAAAUCUCACCCGGUCCGGACACUGUGAGGAUUGACAGAUUGAUAGCUCUUUCUUGAUUCGGUGGGUGGUGGUGCAUGGCCGUUCUUAGUUGGUGGAGCGAUUUGUCUGGUUAAUUCCGAUAACGAACGAGACUCGAGCCUGCUAAAUAGUGCAUCUGUGUUAAAUUGCAGAUACUCACUUCUUAGAGGAAUAAAUAGCGUUUAGCUAAAUGAAAAUGAGCAAUAACAGGUCUGUGAUGCCCUUAGAUGUCCGGGGCCGCACGCGCGCUACAAUGUCAGUAACAACGAGUUUUAUUCCUAACCAGAAAUGGUAGGGUAAUCUGGUGAAUCACUGUCGUAUCAGGAAUAGUGGUUUGAAAUUUUUCCACUUGAACGAGGAAUUCCUAGUAAGCGCAAGUCACUAACUUGCGCUGAUUACGUCCCUGCCCUUUGUACACACCGCCCGUCGCUACUACCGAUUGAAUGGUUUAGUGAGAUUGUUGGAUUCUAAUUUAAGAAAUGGCAACAUUUCU
rnacentral:rRNA from 1 species